ACAGGGAUUGCCCUAGUACGGCGAGUGAAGCGGCAACAGCUCAAAUUUGAAAUCUGGCUUCGGCCCGAGUUGUAAUUUGCAGAGGAUGUUUCUGGCGCGGUGCCUUCCGAGUUCCCUGGAACGGGACGCCACAGAGGGUGAGAGCCCCGUAUGGUUGGACACCAAGCCUGUGUGAAACUCCUUCGACGAGUCGAGUAGUUUGGGAAUGCUGCUCAAAAUGGGAGGUAAAUCUCUUCUAAAGCUAAAUACCGGCCAGAGACCGAUAGCGCACAAGUAGAGUGAUCGAAAGAUGAAAAGCACCUUGAAAAGGGGGUUAAACAGUACGUGAAAUUGUUGAAAGGGAAGCGCUUGUGACCAGACUUGUGCCGGGCGGUUCAUCCGGGGUUCUCCCCGGUGCACUCCGCCCGGUUCAGGCCAGCAUCGGUUUUCGUUGGGGGAUAAGAACGUCAGGAACGUGGCCCUCCUUCGGGUGGGUGUUAUAGCCUGGCGUACGAUACCCUGGCGGGGACCGAGGUUCGCGCUCCGCAAGGAUGCUGGCGUAAUGGUCAUCAGCGACCCGUCUUGAAACACGGACCAAGGAGUCGUCCAUUAGAGCGAGCGUUUGGGUGUCAAACCCGCACGCGUAAUGAAAGUGAAAUUAGGUGAGAGCUUCGGCGCAUCAUCGACCGAUCCUGAUGUUCUCGGAUGGAUUUGAGUAAGAGUUUUAACGGACGGACCCGAAAGACAGUGAACUAUGCUUGUAUAGGGUGAAGCCAGAGGAAACUCUGGUGGAGGCUCGCAGCGGUUCUGACGUGCAAAUCGAUCGUCAAAUAUGAGCAUGGGGCGAAAGACUAAUCG
rnacentral:rRNA from 1 species